CAAAAAAGGUAGAGUGAACCUCUGCCUAGUCAUAUUUUUUCAAUAUGGCUAAACCUUCAAAUUGACGGGAAAGCUCUAAAGCAAUUUAAACCAAACAAAUGUGGUAACACAUCUUGUGGCACAGGUAAUGACUCGUGGUAAGGUAACAUCGAAAUUGAUGACGAAAGGAAAUGAGUAAUCCGCAGCCAAACACCCUAUUAAACAGGGGUGCGCAGUUCAUCGACUAUAAGGAGGUUGGUACAUAAUUAUAAAGUAAUUUUAAAAAUUAUUUGCUUAAGAUAUAGUCAGGCAUAAUUUAAAAGUUAUG
rnacentral:ncRNA from 1 species